rnacentral:rRNA from 1 species
GAUGAACGCUGGCGGCGUGCCUAAUACAUGCAAGUCGAGCGAACAGACGAGGAGCUUGCUCCUCUGACGUUAGCAGCGGACGGGUGAGUAACACGUGGAUAACCUACCUAUAAGACUGGGAUAACUUCGGGAAACCGGAGCUAAUACCGGAUAAUAUAUUGAACCGCAUGGUUCAAUAGUGAAAGACGGUUUUGCUGUCACUUAUAGAUGGAUCCGCGCCGCAUUAGCUAGUUGGUAAGGUAACGGCUUACCAAGGCAACGAUGCGUAGCCGACCUGAGAGGGUGAUCGGCCACACUGGAACUGAGACACGGUCCAGACUCCUACGGGAGGCAGCAGUAGGGAAUCUUCCGCAAUGGGCGAAAGCCUGACGGAGCAACGCCGCGUGAGUGAUGAAGGUCUUCGGAUCGUAAGACUCUGUUAUUAGGGAAGAACAAAUGUGUAAGUAACUAUGCACGUCUUGACGGUACCUAAUCAGAAAGCCACGGCUAACUACGUG